UACGUAGGUGGCGAGCGUUGUCCGGAUUUACUGGGCGUAAAGGGCGUGCAGGCGGUUUGUUAAGUGCAGGGUGAAAGCUCCCGGCUCAACUGGGAGAGGUCCUUGCAUACUGGCGAACUCGAGGGAGGCAGAGGAAAGUGGAAUUCCCGGUGUAGUGGUGAUAUGCGUAGAUAUCGGGAGGAACACCGGUGGCGAAGGCGGCUACCUGGACAGAAACUGACGCUGAGGCGCGAAAGCUAGGGGAGCGAACGGG
rnacentral:rRNA from 1 species